rnacentral:rRNA from 1 species
GACGAACGCUGGCGGCGUGCCUAAUACAUGCAAGUCGAACGCUGAAGAGAGGAGCUGCUCUUCUUGGAUGAGUUGCGAACGGGUGAGUAACGCGUAGGUAACCUGCCUUGUAGCGGGGGAUAACUAUUGGAAACGAUAGCUAAUACCGCAUAACAAUGGAUGACCCAUGUCAUUUAUUUGAAAGGGGCAAAUGCUCCACUACAAGAUGGACCUGCGUUGUAUUAGCUAGUAGGUGAGGUAACGGCUCACCUAGGCGACGAUACAUAGCCGACCUGAGAGGGGGAUCGGCCACACUGGGACUGGGACACGGCCCAGACUCCUACGGGAGGCAGCAGUAGGGAAUCUUCGGCAAUGGGGGCAACCCUGACCGAGCAACGCCGCGUGAGUGAAGAAGGUUUUCGGAUCGUAAAGCUCUGUUGUAAGUCAAGAACGAGUGUGAGAGUGGAAAGUUCACACUGUGACGGUAGCUUACCAGAAAGGGACGGCUAACUACGUG